rnacentral:rRNA from 1 species
UACGAAGGGUGCAAACGUUGCUCGGAAUUAUUGGGCGUAAAGCGCACGUAGGCGGCUUUUCAAGUCCCAUGUGAAAGCCCACGGCUUAACCGUGGAAGUGCAUGGGAAACUGGAAGCUUGAGUACUUAAGAGGAUCGCGGAAUUCCCGGUGUAGAGGUGAAAUUCGUAGAUAUCGGGAGGAACACCAGUGGCGAAGGCGGCGAUCUGGGAAGAGUACUGACGCUGAGGUGCGAAAGCGUGGGGAGCAAACAGGG